rnacentral:misc_RNA from 1 species
GCUGGAGUUCCUUUGGCUUAAAAGACUCCUCUCCUCUUAAGCUUCGACUCAAGACCGACCUUGCAAGAAGAAGUUUUUUAAUCGAGCUCUAAAACUUCUGGACCUUUAGACCUUUGCAAUGAUAUUCCGACCAAUGGCUAAGCCUAUCCAAAGUUUGAGGCAAACAACAUGCUUUACUCAUCGAUAGCUUCAAUUUGAGACUAAUCGGGACAAUUUUUGUCGCCAAAAAAUCUUCAAAUGGAUGAUUGCACAAGUAGAAUGCUUGAUGCGUGUGCAACAAUACAAUACAAUUUAU